UGGGGGAUAUUGCACAAUGGGCGAAAGCCUGAUGCAGCGACGCCGCGUGGGGGAUGAAGGCCUUCGGGUUGUAAACUUCUUUUGCUCUGAACAAGGCGCACCAUGGGGUGUGUUGAGUGUAGGGGUUGAUUAGCGCCGGCUAACUACGUGCCAGCAGCCGCGGUAAUACGUAGGGCGCGAGCGUUGUCCGGAAUUAUUGGGCGUAAAGGGCUUGUAGGUGGCUGGUUGCGUCUGUCGUGAAAGCUCAUGGCUUAACUGUGGGUUUGCGGUGGGUACGGGCUGGCUUGAGUGCAGUAGGGGAGGCUGGAAUUCCUGGUGUAGCGGUGGAAUGCGCAGAUAUCAGGAGGAAUACCGGUGCCGAAGGCGGGUCUCUGGGCUGUUACUGACACUGAGGAGCGAAAGCAUGGGGAGCGAACAGG
rnacentral:rRNA from 1 species